rnacentral:rRNA from 1 species
AUGAACGCUGGCGGCGUGCUUAACACAUGCAAGUCGAACGGAAAGGCCCAAGCUUGCUUGGGUACUCGAGUGGCGAACGGGUGAGUAACACGUGGGUGAUCUGCCCUGCACUUCGGGAUAAGCCUGGGAAACUGGGUCUAAUACCGGAUAGGACGAUGGUUUGGAUGCCAUUGUGGAAAGUUUUUUCGGUGUGGGAUGAGCUCGCGGCCUAUCAGCUUGUUGGUGGGGUAAUGGCCUACCAAGGCGUCGACGGGUAGCCGGCCUGAGAGGGUGUACGGCCACAUUGGGACUGAGAGACGGCCCAGACUCCUACGGGAGGCAGCAGUGGGGAAUAUUGCACAAUGGGCGCAAGCCUGAUGCAGCGACGCCGCGUGGGGGAUGACGGCCUUCGGGUUGUAAACUCCGUUCGCUAGGGACGAAGCGUUUUUGUGACGGUACCUGGAGAAGAAGCACCGGCUAACUACGUG